rnacentral:rRNA from 1 species
CUGGCUCAGGACGAACGCUGGCGGCGUGCUUAACACAUGCAAGUCGAACGAUAAGCCCAGCUUGCUGGGUGGAUUAGUGGCGAACGGGUGAGUAACACGUGAGUAACCUGCCCUUGACUCUGGGAUAAGCGCUGGAAACGGCGUCUAAUACCGGAUACGACCUGCCCCGGCAUCGGGUGCGGGUGGAAAGUUUUUCGGUCAAGGAUGGACUCGCGGCCUAUCAGGUAGUUGGUGAGGUAAUGGCUCACCAAGCCGACGACGGGUAGCCGGCCUGAGAGGGUGACCGGCCACACUGGGACUGAGACACGGCCCAGACUCCUACGGGAGGCAGCAGUGGGGAAUAUUGCACAAUGGGCGAAAGCCUGAUGCAGCAACGCCGCGUGGGGGAUGACGGCCUUCGGGUUGUAAACCUCUUUUAGUAGGGAAGAAGGGCUUCGGCUUGACGGUACCUGCAGA